GGUUCUUUGUGUUGAGGGUGGUGGUCUGAAGAGCUGGCAGCUGCAUGAACAUGUGAAUCACGGGGUGCUCGUGAAUGGGGCCAGGUGGGGGUCCCUGGGGCUGGGCCCACCACAGCUUCAAGCCUUUCAGUCAAUAUUGAGCCAGGCCAUCCCUGCAGCCUCAGCAGAAUGAAUCACCCCAGUUAUCCCAUUGGAGCCAAGACUGGCUGUCAGCCCCCUGCAGGGAAGAUGACUAAUUGUCUGAGUCCAUUGUUUGUAUUAGUGUUUUUGGGCAGGGAAGGUGGGGUGCAAGGGGGUGAACUGUCUCAGGGCAGUGGGGCAUCCCUUACAGUUCUCUCCCCUCCGGGCCUAGUCUGAGCCAGGCAAGUUCCUCUGUAGGAACCUCAGAGGGAGGUCACAUCUUCUUUCCCCUCUUACUCACCGCCCCUCUUCCCUGAAGGCCCAAAUGUGUGGAAUUAAGUCGUCUUCUUCCUCCGUAGGGUGGGGAUGUGCGCACAGUCCCCAGAGGGCUGGAAGCAUCGCCUUUGGAGUUCCUCCUUCUCUAGUUGCCUCCGCUGCCCCACAGGGCAUAGGCACUGGCACUGUUGGGGAGCAGGAAGGACUCAGAACUCCAGCUGCCCGUCUGCACAGCCACAUGCAAGCCUUGGCUCUAUUCCACUUCCUCUGGAAAAGUACCUUCCUGGCCCCGCAGUGGCUGGCAAUUUGGGGUGUGGAGUGAGCACCCUUGCGUGGGCAGAGAGCAGGAAGUCUGGGUUGGUUUUCUUGAAUUCCUGGGGAGGAGCUGAUGGUGGUGGUACCACAGCCCUGGUCAUCAGGGAGCCCUUCCUAUGAGGAGGGAUACAGGACGUGGACACCCAGGGAAUGUCAGCAAGGGGAUAUUUUUGCUCCUAGCAAUCAAAUCCCAAAAAAGCAACUCAACUUCACCUGAGACACACCUGUGAUGAGCAAGUCAAUGAAGGGGAGGGGUUUGCAGAGACAAAGAGAAUCGGAACCCCUGCCUCUCCCCUCCCCUGCUUUCAGCGGGGAGAAGACCUUGGUACAAAGAGGGAGGAGGAGUCGUUUCAGUGGGUGAAGACCUGCUGCCGCUGGGAGGGGCUGCGCAGGCAAGGCAGUCAGCAUGAGCUUCCAGGGAGCUCCGGUGGGUGGGCAGGCAGGCCAGGAGGCUGAAGAGGAUCAACAAACAUUCUCAGUCCACCUGCUAAAUAAACAGGAAUUAGAACCCCUUUGUCCACUCCAGGCCGGUUGAGAUCACCAACUCAUCAACUGGGCCUGUGCAGAUGUCGGAUAAGCGGCCUUUUGACGUCAAGAGGCUAAAAACUCCACCCUCAGAUCACGCUAAUGCUGCCAUUUUGUGAACAUGGUUUCUAUGAAGAGGCAUGAAGUCUGACUACACUUGCUCAGAUCAUCAAUUACCUCACCUCUCCUCACCUCUCCUCACCUCCAAUCACCUACCCCCCACUUUUCAGACCACCUUGCCCCCCAUCCCAUAAAUAUCCCUGAGUCCCUAUUUUUGGGAAAGUGGAUUUGAGACUCAUGCUCUGGCUUCCUCGCAUGGCUGCCUUGUGAUUAAACUCUGUCUCCGCUGCAGUCUCAUGGUCUUGG
ensembl:lncRNA